GUUCCGCGUUCCCUGCACAAAAUGCCCGGCGAAGCCACAGAAACCGUCCCUGCUACAGAGCAGGAGUUGCCGCAGCCCCAGGCUGAGACAGCUGUGCUACCUAUGUCUUCAGCCUUGAGUGUCACUGCUGCCUUAGGGCAGCCUGGACCUACCCUCCCCCCUCCUUGCUCUCCUGCCCCACAACAGUGCCCUCUCUCAGCUGCUAACCAGGCUUCCCCAUUCCCUUCCCCCUCUACUAUUGCCUCGACCCCUUUAGAAGUUCCUUUUCCCCAGUCAUCCUCUGGAACAGCCCUACCUUUGGGAACUGCCCCUGAAGCCCCAACCUUCCUACCAAACCUAAUAGGGCCUCCCAUCUCCCCAGCUGCCUUAGCUCUAGCCUCUCCCAUGAUAGCUCCAACUCUGAAAGGGACCCCUUCCUCUUCAGCUCCCUUAGCUCUGGUUGCCCUGGCUCCCCACUCAGUUCAGAAGAGUUCUGCUUUUCCACCUAACCUUCUUACUUCACCUCCUUCAGUGGCUGUAGCUGAGUCAGGGUCAGUGAUAACUCUGUCAGCUCCCAUUGCUCCCUCAGAACCAAAGACUAAUCUUAAUAAAGUUCCCUCUGAGGUAGUCCCUAAUCCAAAAGGCACCCCCAGCCCUCCAUGUAUAGUCAGUACUGUUCCUUACCACUGUGUGACUCCCAUGGCCUCUAUUCAAUCUGGAGUGGCCUCCCUUCCUCAGACAACACCCACAACUACCCUAGCCAUCGCUUCCCCUCAAGUCAAAGAUACCACCAUUUCCUCAGUUCUGAUUUCUCCACAAAACCCAGGAAGCCUCAGCCUGAAGGGGCCUGUUAGUCCACCUGCUGCCUUAUCUCUUUCAACUCAGUCUCUUCCUGUGGUGACCUCUUCUCAAAAGACUGCGGGUCCCAACACCCCCCCAGAUUUUCCCAUUUCUCUGGGCUCUCAUCUUGCACCUUUACAUCAGAGUUCUUUUGGUUCUGUCCAACUUUUAGGUCAAACAGGUCCUAGUGCUUUGUCAGACCCUACAGUGAAGACCAUUUCUGUAGAUCAUUCUUCCACAGGGGCCUCUUAUCCUUCUCAGAGAUCUGUAAUUCC
rnacentral:lncRNA from 1 species